rnacentral:rRNA from 1 species
GACGAACGCUGGCGGCGUGCUUAACACAGGCAAGUCGAACGGAGUGGCGAACGGGUGAGUAAAACGUGGGUGAUCUGCCUUGGACUUCGGUAUAAGCUUGGGAAACUGGGUCUAAUACCGGAUUGUGCAAGAUGAGCCCGCGGCAUAUCAGCUUGUGGGUGGGGUAAUGGCCUCCCAAGGCGUCGACGGGUAGCCGGCCUGAGAGGGUGUACGGCACACUUGGGACUGCGUGAAAGCCCAGACUCCUACGGGGAGCCGCAGUGGGGAAUAUGGCGCAAUGGGCGGAAGCCUUAACCAGCGACGCAUCGUGGGGGAUGUAGGCCUUAGGAUUGGAAACUCCUUUCGACAGGGACGCGGUACCUGUAUAAGAAGCACCGGCUGACUACGUGCCAGCAGCCGCGGUAAUUC